rnacentral:lncRNA from 1 species
AAGUUCUAAACCCUAAACUCUAUGUCCUAAGCCCUAAGCCUUAAGUCCAAAUAAUCCUUAAACCCUAAUUUUUAAGCCCUAAACUCUAAGCCCAAAGCCUUAAACCCUAAACCCUAAUAAGGCUUAAGCCUUAAUAAACCUAAAUCCUAAACCCUGUCCUCAAAGAGUUAUACCUAAAGAGUUGUUUUCAUGAUCUACCAUAGCCAAGUUAAGACAUCUUUCAGAAAACUCAUAAUCGUUAUAUACAACACAAAGUAACGAAAAAGAACUAAUAAAAUAUUAUGGAUUUAAAAGAUCUCUAGAAACUUUUUGGACAUCAUUAACACGUUCAGAAAGGGUGCAAGACUUUAUUCAU